AUGAACGCUGGCGGCGUGCCUAACACAUGCAAGUCGAGCGAACAGACGAGGAGCUUGCUCCUCUGACGUUAGCGGCGGACGGGUGAGUAACACGUGGAUAACCUACCUAUAAGACUGGGAUAACUUCGGGAAACCGGAGCUAAUACCGGAUAAUAUAUUGAACCGCAUGGUUCAAUAGUGAAAGACGGUUUUGCUGUCACUUAUAGAUGGAUCCGCGCCGCAUUAGCUAGUUGGUAAGGUAACGGCUUACCAAGGCAACGAUGCGUAGCCGACCUGAGAGGGUGAUCGGCCACACUGGAACUGAGACACGGUCCAGACUCCUACGGGAGGCAGCAGUAGGGAAUCUUCCGCAAUGGGCGAAAGCCUGACGGAGCAACGCCGCGUGAGUGAUGAAGGUCUUCGGAUCGUAAAACUCUGUUAUUAGGGAAGAACAAAUGUGUAAGUAACUAUGCACGUCUUGACGGUACCUAAUCAGAAAGCCACGGCUAACUACGUG
rnacentral:rRNA from 1 species